UGUGCUGUCAGCAUCGGAUGUGCAUAUGUCCACUCAGUGCUCCCUGCUGCUUUAAAACCUCCAUGCCAAGUCUGGUCUACUGUGUUCAAGUUCAUGUUUUUACACAUAGAUGGAGCCUUCACCAAAGCACAUGUGCUGCUGAAAGAGCACCCAGCCUCUCCUCAUGCAUGAUCCACACUGCAAGCCUCAGACAGGUGCCUGAGCUGCUGAGAGAUCAACGACUUGCCUGAAAGAUGGAGAUUGAAUCCCAGCAUGAGAUUUCUAGGGAACUAGAUGUCUGAAAUCCUGCAGGAUCUUUUAGUUAUAAAUUCUCACAGAUGUGAUCUCGUCAGGACACUAUUUGUGGGCACCCCACCCUGGAUGUUCUCAGCGUUGGUUUGUAUGGAACCCUGGGCAGCCUGAUCUAGUGAGUGGCAGCCCUGCCCAUGGCAUGGGUGUGCAACUGGAUGGGCCUUAAGGUCCCUUCCAACCUAAUCCGUUCCAUGACUCCAUGAUCAUUACAUAUCUUAUAGGACGGUUAAAUGCUUAUUUGUUUAAUAGACUGGAAUAUCUUUAAUACUGGAGUACAUCAUAUAUUUUCCUAAAUUUAUACGAAAGGGUGGAAAACAAAACAUACAAAGACCAUCACUUUCUUAAGAAUUGCAAGAAUUUCUUGUUAUCACAGAAUCACAGAACAGUUUGGGUUGGAAGAGAUCUUAAAGACCAUCUGGCUCCAACUUCUCCCUGUGGGCAGGGUCACCUUUUACUACACAGUGUAUUCAGGACAUUCUAACUGGGUUACAGAUACAAGUAGCUACAUAUCAGUAAACAGCGUGUAGCUGCU